UACGGGGGGAGCAAGCGUUGUUCGGAUUUACUGGGCGUAAAGGGCGCGUAGGCGGCGCAACAAGUCACUUGUGAAAUCUCCGGGCUUAACCCGGAGCGGUCAAGUGAUACUGUCGUGCUAGAGUGCGGAAGGGGCUACUGGAAUUCUCGGUGUAGCGGUGAAAUGCGUAGAUAUCUGGAGGAACACCGGUGGCGAAGGCGGCAUCCUGGACCGGGAUUGACGCGUGAACGGCGGAAAGCUAGG
rnacentral:rRNA from 1 species